rnacentral:sRNA from 1 species
GGAAGUAAAAGUCGUAACAAGGUUUCCGUAGGUGAACCUGCGGAAGGAUCAUUCAUAAUAAGUGUUUUAUGGCACUUUUUAGAUCCAUAUCCACCUUGUGUGCAAUGUCAGUCGAUCUUCUUCAUGGAGAUCGACCAAACAUCAACCUUUAUUUUUUAACUCUUUGUCUGAAAAAUAUUAUGAAUAAACAAUUCAAAAUACAACUUUCAACAACGGAUCUCUUGGCUCUCGCAUCGAUGAAGAACGCAGCGAAAUGCGAUACGUAAUGUGAAUUGCAGAAUUCAGUGAAUCAUCGAAUCUUUGAACGCAUAUUGCGCUCUUUGGUAUUCCGAAGAGCAUGCUUGUUUGAGUAUCAGUAAACACCUCAAAGCUUUUGGAUUUUUUAAUCGAAAAGCUUUGGACUUGAGCAAUCCCAACACCAAUCUUUUUGAGAUCGGUGGCGGGUUGCUUGAAAUGCAGGUGCAGCUGGACAUUCUCCUGAGCUAAAAGCAUAUUCAUUUAGUCCCGUCAAACGGAUUAUUACUUUUGCUGCAGCUAACAUAAAGGGAGUUUGACCGUAUUGGCUGACUGAUGCAGGAUUUCACAAGGGUCGGCAACGAUUCUUGUUAAACUCGAUCUCAAAUCAAGUAAGACUACCCGCUGAACUUAAGCAUAUCAAUAAGCGGAGGAAAAGAAACUAACAAGGAUUCCCCUAGUAACGGCGAGUGAAGCGGGAUGAGCUCAAAUUUAAAAUCUGGCUGGUUUACUAGUCCGAAUUGUAGUUUAUAGAAGCGUUUUCGGUGGCAGCCUGGGUAUAAAUCCUUUGGAAUAGGGUAUCAUAGAGGGUGAGAAUCCCGUCUUUGACUCAGUGCAUGCUACUAUGUGAUACGUUUUCAAAGAGUC